rnacentral:rRNA from 1 species
GGAGUUUGGGCCGUGUCUCAGUCCCAAUGUGGCCGGUCAUCCUCUCAGAUCGGCUACUGAUCGUCGUCUUGGUGGGCCGUUACCCCGCCAACUAACUAAUCAGACGCGGGUCCAUCUCACACCACCGGAGUUUUUACCCCUGUACCAUGCGGUACUGUGGUCUUAUGCGGUAUUAACAGUCGUUUCCAACUGUUAUCCCCCUGUGUGAGGCAGGUUACCCACGCGUUACUCACCCGUCCGCCACUAAGUAUUGAAAAAUCCAUCCGAAAACUUCAUUCUCAAUACUCCGUUCGACUUGCAUGCUUAAGACGCGCCGCCAGCGUUCGUUCUGAGCCAGGAUCAAAAUCU